rnacentral:rRNA from 1 species
AUUGAACGCUGGCGGCAUGCCUUACACAUGCAAGUCGAACGGUAACAGGUCUUCGGAUGCUGACGAGUGGCGAACGGGUGAGUAAUACAUCGGAACGUGCCUAGUAGUGGGGGAUAACUACUCGAAAGAGUGGCUAAUACCGCAUGAGAUCUACGGAUGAAAGCAGGGGAUCGCAAGACCUUGUGCUACUAGAGCGGCCGAUGGCAGAUUAGGUAGUUGGUGGGAUAAAAGCUUACCAAGCCGACGAUCUGUAGCUGGUCUGAGAGGACGAUCAGCCACACUGGGACUGAGACACAGCCCAGACUCCUACGGGAGGCAGCAGUGGGGAAUUUUGGACAAUGGGCGCAAGCCUGAUCCAGCAAUGCCGCGGGCAGGAUGAAGGCCUUCUGGUUGUAAACUGCUUUUGUACGGAACGAAAAGCCCUGGGUUAAUACCCUGGGGUCAUGACGGUACCGUAAGAAUAAGCACCGGCUAACUACGUGCCAGCCGCCGCCGUAACAC